rnacentral:rRNA from 1 species
CACGUAGGGGGCAAGCGUUGUCCGGAUUUAUUGGGCGUAAAGAGCUCGUAGGCGGUUUGUCGCGUCUGCUGUGAAAACCUAAGGGCUCAACCUUGGGCUUGCAGUGGGUACGGGCAGACUAGAGUGCGGUAGGGGUGACUGGAAUUCCUGGUGUAGCGGUGGAAUGCGCAGAUAUCAGGAGGAACACCGAUGGCGAAGGCAGGUCACUGGGCCGCAAACUGACGC